GAUGACGCCAGCAGCUGCGGGCCCGGCUGCUGCGCCUGAGCCCCAAGACCCCGCACCUGGGCGCGCGCUCUGGCGCAGUGCCUGGUGCGAUGUCCGCGUCAGCCUCUCUCCUCCGGGAGAGGCAGGGAGUGUGACGCCCAUUUUACCAGCGGGCAAACUGUGGCUUAGGGAUGCUGGGUGAUUUGCCCGAGGACGCACACAGAGGGAAGGGCCAAGCCGGGAUUCCAACUCGGGACUCCCCGCUUCUGGGGAGACCGGUGAGGCCCCCGCGACAUGGCCCUCCCAUCCCCAAGCCUCUCGUGCAGAUCUCCGCUCUGUGGGACUUGAUUGCGGGCUGCGGGCCCGUGGCUCCUGCAGGCAGAGAGAGGACGGGAGAGGAGACGGCUACGAGGCUUGGCCGCAGGAAUCAGGUCCCUGGCCUGGGGGCGGCAAAAGGAGAUGGCGGUGGGUCAAGUGGGCGCGCAGGCUCAGACCUGGGGCUUCUGAGCCCACGCCCAGGCAUCUCGGACCUCUCACUUCUGAGGCCACCUCCUGCCCUUUAGAAUGAAGGGCUGGCACAGUUCUGCCAGGAUGCACGUUUAGCGACUUCUGUCAGACUGAAGCAUCCCCUCUCCGCAAGCGCCUGAAGUGUGAGAGGCACUGUUCUAAGUGCUUUAAUUUGCACUUGUUUAAUCCUCACAGGAGUCAACUUGAAUGGGCACACUUAUUCCCACUUUACAGAAGAGGAAACUGGGGCACAGAAAGACUGAGUAAUUGCUCAGGGGGCAUGCUCCAAGAAAGAGGGAGAGACAGGAUUUGGACCCAGACAGGCUGGCUCCCUAGUGCUCUGGACUUUGGUGUGGAUGAUCCAACUCAAGCCUUCUCCUUUUUCCCUCCUAUGUGAUCUUGCAUGCGUUUGUGCAGAGAAUGAGAAGGCAGAUCAAAGUUACAGAUGCUGCGAGAACAUCGCCAAGCAGAAUCUUGGGUGCUGUCCCCACCUCUCUGUACCUGCUCCCUCCCAGAGAAGCCAGCCUCCACUUGCUGUCCCGGGCCUUCUCUAUCUGAGAAAAGUUGAAGGAGCACAUGUCCUUGCGCAGGAAGAGGCUGUUCAGCGUGACCGCCCCGAUCAAGAAGAAGAGCUGCUUCACCGCCUGCCUCACAAGCUCGGGGUCCAGGCCGUUCUGGCACAUGGUGGUGUAAAAGUAGCUCAGCUGUUGCAGGACGGAGGUCAUGGUGUAGCCGUCCGUGUCGUCUAUGCUAGAGGAGCGCUUCCGGAAGCCUGUGGGCUUCAGGCCGGAAAUGCCCUGCAGGCUCUCAUACUCCAGCAUUCCCGGAACUGCGGAGAGACAGGGAGGCUGUGCUGACACGCCAGGAGACACACGCGGAACGUUCCCGACGCUCUUCGGUUUGUUUCAGGAGAUGGGACAUUUUUCUACAAGAGUCAGUGGAUGUACUUAUGAUAGAGAAAGCAAAAGAAUCAAGGGUUUGGGACACCAGGGUGUGUGUCAGGGUUAGGGAUGGACGGCUGUUUCCAGCGGGGCUGCAGCUCCUCUUGUAGGUUUGAAGCAGCACGUUUUUCAGCUUCACAGGAAAGAAAGCUGCUUAGCAUGACAAAUCAUGGCCUGGGCAUUAAAGCCUAAAGUAUUUAAAUUUCAGGAAAUUAAGGAAAGUAUACAAGAAUUCGAAUGGGGCUUUAGGAUUUCAAAAAUACUUGGCUACGCCAAGAAGUAGAAGUACCACAUAAAUAGCAGUAGUAGAAGUUUCCCCAAGUUUUUUCCUUCAGGAUAAAUCAUCCUUAUAUAAAGAAAACUACCAACAGCGUACUAUUAUUUAUGGAAUCAUUAUAAGCAAGCAAAGAAUUAAAAGGCAGAUAUCUACAUGAUUAUAUUUCCUUGGCUUUUUAAACAAUGUUACACAUAAUCACACAUUACACAUACCAAGUUUAUGUUUUAAAAAGUCUUAAUGUUACUAUAAAUAUUUUUUGGUCAUCCAUUCUCUUCUUACCUAUUAUCGGUUGGAUAUUCUUUUCCAUUAUGAUAAUAAAUUGAUGAUAUAUUCGUAUAGCCACAUCACUGAGAAUCUGUCUGUAUUCUGAAAGGUCAAAAUUGUUCAAGCAAUUCUUAUUCUGCUGUGGACUAUUAUGCUUCAUGAA
ensembl:lncRNA CERNA1 competing endogenous lncRNA 1 for miR-4707-5p and miR-4767